UCGGACUCGGAGGGCUCGGAGGACGACUCUUGGUCGGAGUCCGAAGAGUCGUCGUCGGGGCUCAGCACCUCCGACCUGA
rnacentral:miRNA from 1 species